AGAGUUUGAUCCUGGCUCAGAUUGAACGCUGGCGGCAGGCUUAACACAUGCAAGUCGAGCGGUAGCACAGGGGAGCUUGCUCCCCGGGUGACGAGCGGCGGACGGGUGAGUAAUGUCUGGGAAACUGCCUGAUGGAGGGGGAUAACUACUGGAAACGGUAGCUAAUACCGCAUAACGUCGCAAGACCAAAGAGGGGGACCUUCGGGCCUCUUGCCAUCAGAUGUGCCCAGAUGGGAUUAGCUAGUAGGUGGGGUAAUGGCUCACCUAGGCGACGAUCCCUAGCUGGUCUGAGAGGAUGACCAGCCACACUGGAACUGAGACACGGUCCAGACUCCUACGGGAGGCAGCAGUGGGGAAUAUUGCACAAUGGGCGCAAGCCUGAUGCAGCCAUGCCGCGUGUGUGAAGAAGGCCUUCGGGUUGUAAAGCACUUUCAGCGAGGAGGAAGGUGGUGAGCUUAAUACGCUCAUCAA
rnacentral:rRNA from 1 species